rnacentral:misc_RNA from 1 species
GAACGCACAUUGCGCCCUAUAGAAUUCUGUAGGGCAUGCCUGUCUGAGCAUCAUAAUAUCUACUCAGAUCUUUGAUUAUUUUAUAUAGUCUUGGAUUUGGAUUUAAUCAGAGAAGUAACCUAUAUGAGUAGAUUACUCUUUGGAAAAAUAAAGGCAGUUAUAGUGAAACCUGUAUUAAACGUGAUAUUAAAAAGUUUCGUUUUUAAGGACUACAUCUUUGACUUGCCUUUAACCCACUUAAUUCUUUUUGAUUGACCUCAGAUCAGGUAGGGAUACCCGCUGAACUUA